UGCUUUGAUCCAGUCAAAGGAGCCAUCCAUGAAAACUUCCCCAUUUCAAACACACAAAUCAGACGCCACAGUGAAUAAGAACUCCAAAUCUCGAUAUAGUAUGGAACCAAAAAUAUUCAAUAAAUCAGAUCUACAAAGAGGAGAGUAAUAUAAAUGUAAGAUCUCGCAGAAAAGACAAAAAAUUAUAUUAAUCUCUUUCUCCUAAAAAUGAAAACCCAACUAAAAUUUGGAAAGCAAUAGCAAAUUCACAGUAUACCGGAUCAAAUAAAGAAUUGCUAUCCGACGACCAGGUAUCACUCAAAAUUAUAUAAGGGAAAAUAAGGAUUAAAAGAUUGAUAAAAAAUAAUAAAUUACAAAUGAUGUGAAAACUAAACAUUUUCGGUUAGAUAUCGAGCAUUUAAACCAGAUCAAUGCACCUACUAACAUAAUUUGCGAAUAGAGAAGCAUCAGUGAAGUUUAAAGUAGUUCAGUUUCGGCUGAAAAUAUUGAACUACUCGAAAACCGAACAGCACAAACAGAAGAACACAAACUGAACCAGAUCCAAUUGACCCUCAAAACUUAAGCACGCAUAUAAACAUGUACAUGCACCUGUAGAGAGAGAGAGAGAGAGAGAGAGAGAGAGAGAGAGAGAGGAUACUUGAAGAGUUCGUGUGGCGAAUUCUACACCAAUGGUAGACUUGGACUCCAAGCAGAACUCGUUGCGAGUAAAUCGAGAGAGCAAAUUCGAUUUUCCAACCCCUGAGUCGCCGAUUAAUACCACUUUGAACAGGUAAUCGUACUCCUCAUCCGGCCUCCUCGCCAUCGCUUUUUCUCUGCUUGAUUUCCUUUCCUUAUUCUUUUCUUUGCUUUUCCUGCGGCUUCAAUUUCUCGUCAAGAAAAAAUCCAUAAAAUCCACUGCUGCAAACGAAUCGGUCCUCCCUCGCAAGUGAGAAACCGAGGAACAAGACGAAUACACGAUGACUCUUUUCAAAUCAAAAUUUCAAGAUCGGCUACAACAGCACGUCUAUAUUAUCUACCGAAAAGCAGAAAAGAUUUCGUGAAAGUGAUAUUACUAUAAUGCCCUCGGCCUCGUAUUGGGAUCUCUUCUCGAGGGAGGGGCAGAAUUGGGAGGACGUGUUAGUAAAAGAAUUUAAACUUCUCUUUUGAAAAUUAUUUGGUAGUUAGUAAUAAUG
rnacentral:lncRNA from 1 species